CACUGCACUCCAGCCUAAGCGACAGAGUGAGACUCCGUCUCAAAAACAAAAAAAAACCUAGAGAAGCCUUUCCAAGCAAGGCGACUCAGUUGAAAAAAAACCUAGAGAAGCCAUUUAAUAUAUUAUUCUUAUCCUUUGAACACUAAAAGCGUUUUUCUUUAAAAGAUGCCCUUGUUUACAUGGCUAGAAGGGUAAUGGAAUAUAUCUGUCAUUGUGCUCAUAUAAAUCACAGGUCUUGAAUUCAGUCUGUAAUAUUCAAAAUGAAAGAAAGUGCGUUUAUCAGAAUUUAUUAGUAGAACUUGCAUUUGAAAAAAAAAUUUUUCUAUAAGAUUGUAGAUCAAUACUCCUAACAUUCAUUUCUUAGUUUUUACUCAGUUUCUUAAGCUUACCUAAAUAUACCUAGAGAAAAUAAUGAUGACUGUAUGGACUAAUAAUUAUAAGGCGAUAUAUUCACUUUGGUAUAAUCAUUAAUGGUUUAUUUCUUUUAAUUAAUGUCAAAUGCACAUGAGCCAUAUGAUUCAUGAUUCAAUGUCAUUUUGAAUGCCAUUGAAUGAAUUCUUCACAGUGAAUUUAUUAUUUUAUUUUAUUGUAUUGUAUUUUAGAGACAGGGUCUCACUUUGUUGCCCAGGUUGGAGUGCAAUGGCAUGAUCUUGGCUCACUGCAGCCUUAGACUCUUGGCCUCAAGUGUUCCUCCCACCUCAGCCUCCCGAGUAACUGGGACUACAGGCAUGUGCCACCAUAUUUGGCUAAUUUAUUAUUUUUUUCAUUUUAUUUUUUGAGGUGGAGUCUUGCUCUGUUGCCCAGGCUGGAGUGCAAUGGCACAAUCUGGGCUCACUGCAGCCUCUGCCUCUCAGGUUCAAGUGAUUCCCCUGCCUCAGCCUCCUGAGUAGCUAGGAUUACGGGCACGCACCACUGUGCCCCGCUAAUUUUUUUGUAUUUUUAGUAGGGACCAGGUUUCAUCAUGUUGGCCAGACAGGUCUUGAACUCCUGACCUCAAGUGAUCCAUCCGCCUCGGCCUCUGAAAGUGCUGGGAUUACAGGCGUGAGCCCCGGCAUCCAGCCUAAUUUUUUAUUUUUUGUAAAGACGGGGUUUCACCAUGUUACCCAGGCUGGUGUUGAACUCCUGAGCUCAAGCAGUCUUCUCGCCUCGGCCUCUCAAAGUGCUGGGUUUGCAGGCGUGAGCCACCUUGUCCAGCCAACUGAAUUUUUUUCAGAACUAACGUGAAGUCAUUUUCUAACUUGUGCCUUUUUACUUCACUGUAAUUAAAGAAGGAAAAAAAAUAGAAAGCCUGACUCAGAACAACACUACCAUCUAGGGGCCGCUCUCUUAAUUGCGAGCUCAUCCUGUUAUACCACAGAAGAGAGCCCUUGGAGACCAGAGUUCAACUUGCAGAGGUUAAAUGAUUUGCCUAAAGUCACAGUUACUUGCAGAGCCUAAAGUAAAACCUAUCUCUGCGGAUUUCCAAUCCAGUUCUUUUUCCGUUUAUUAUGGCAAAGUGAUAACAUUUUUUUUAGCAGUUAAACAAGAAGAAUUGAUCCGUUUCAUUGGCCUGUAGUGGUUGUAGCCUCUAAUACUUAACGAUUAGAAAGAAUUACACAGUAUGUAUUAAAGCCUUGAAGUUUUAUCCUUCAGGAAGAAAAGUCCUGUCAGCUUCUUGGUUUUAUGUGGACAAUUUAUAUUGAUGUUACCUAGAAACUGAAACAUGAAUGGAUCCACUAAUGUGGAUUCCUUUUUCUCUUUAAUAGAAAAUAUUCAAAAAUUUAGAACAUCAGAUCUUGUACAGCUGUAUCUUGUAGGGCUGUGCCCUUGGCAACAGUAGAGCAAUCAUAAAUCUAGAUUUUCAUUAAAAUAUAACACAAAACACUGUUAUUAGUAUUUUGGAGUAUAAUAGAUUAACCAAAGCACUGUUAAGCUGAUAGAUUUAUAUUUCAGAGUCUGAGACAUAUUCUGAUUUUUUUAAAGGAAUUCUAAUUAUAUGUAUACCAUGGAUUAUUUAUCUUCAAGUACUGUAAAUUAGGCAAUAAUUAAAUGAAAUAUUUGGUUGUCUAUGUUUCACAAAAAUUAACUAACAAUACCAAAAUAUUGGCCUCUGGCUGAGCACUAUGACUCACGCCUGUAAUCUCAGCACUUUGGGAGGCCAAGGCGGGUGGAUAACCUGAGGUCAGGAGUUCAAAACCAGCCUGGCCAACAUGGUGAAACCCUGUCUCUACUAAAAAUACAAAAAUUAGCCAGGCUAUGGUGGCGUGGGCCUGUAAUCCCAGCUACUGGGUGAGGCAGGAGAAUUGCGCAAACCUGGGAAAUGGAGGUUGCAGUGAGCUGAGAUUAUGCCACUGCACUGCAGUCUGGGCAACAGAGAGUGACACCAUCUCAAAAAAAAAAUGUGUGUGUGUGUAUAUAUACAUAUAUGUAUAUAUGUGUAUGUGUAUAUGUAUGUGUGUAUACAUGUAUGUGUGUAUGAAUGUAUACGCAUAUGUAUAUGUGUGUACACGUGUGUAUAUAUACAUAUGUAUGUGUAUGCAUAGUAUAUACAUACAUGUGUAUAUAUACAUAUGUAUGUAUAUGCAUAGUGUAUACAUACAUAUGUAUGUAUAUGCAGUGUAUACAUACAUAUGUAUACAUACGUAUGUGUAUAUGUAUAUAUACGUAUACAUGUAUACAUGCAUGCAUUUAUACAUAUGUAUGCACAUAUAUACAUAUACACAUAUGUGUAUACACAUACACACACUUUAAAUAUAUACAUACAUAUACACAUACGUAUGUAUGCGUGUAUGUAUAUACAUAUACACAUACAUAUAUACAUAUACGUAUACACAAAUGUAUAUGUGGUAAUAUACACAUAUAUACUUACAUAUACAUGCACAUAUACACAUAUAUAUACAUACACAUAUAUACGUGUAUAUACAUAUAUGUAUCAAAAAAAUAAUAAUAGGGCCGGGAUGGAUGUUAUACACUUCUAGGAGCUGACACCUGCAAUAAUUUUUCUGCCUUGACUUCUUUUUUUUUUUUUUUUUCUGAGACGUAGUUUUGCCCUUGCUGCCCAGGCUGGAGUCCAAUGGUGCGAUCUUGGCUCACUGCAACCUCUGCCCCCAGGUUCCAGCAAUUCUCGUGCCUCAGCCUCCGAAGUAGCUAGGAUUAGAGGUGCCCGCCACCACGCUUUGCUAGUUUUUUGUAUCUGUAUUUUUAUUUUUGAGAUGGAGUUUCGCUCGUCAACCCAGGCUGGAGUGCAAUGGUGUGAUUUUGGCUCACCGCAACCUCUGCCUCCUGGGUUGAAGCAAUUCUCCUGCCUCAGCCUCCCAAGUAGCUGGGAUUACAGGUGCCCACCACCAUGCCCAGCUAAUUUUUAUAUUUUUAGUAAAGACAGGAUUUCACCAUGUUGGUCAGGCUGGUCUCAAACUCAUGACCUCAGGUGAUCCACCCGCCUUGGCCUCCCAAAGUGCUGGGAUUAUAGGCAUGAGCCACCGUGCCCAGCCAAUUUUUUGUAUUUUUAGUAGACAUGGAGUUUCGCCACUUUGGCCAGGCUGGUCUUGAACUCCUGUCCUCAGGUGAUCCACCCGCCUCACCCUCCCAAAGUACUGGGAUUACAGGUGUGAGCCACCGCACCCAGCCCUACUUUGACUUCUUAAAUGAUCUUAGCAAAUGGAAACUCAUUACCCUUCAUAGCUGUCACACUUGCAUUGCCUAUCACAGCGUUACGUCAGAGAAUUAAUGACUCAUUAAAUUGGUAUGACUGGAUAUUUAAAGAUACUAAAGAUUAUUACUGAAAUUUGGAGCUGUGUUAAUAGGAUUUUGGUUACAUUUCUUUUUAAGAAAUCAUUUCAGAGAUACAUGAUGAAAUAUUUACAUUUGAUAAGUUAAAUUUGCUUCAAAUAAUUGAGGAGGAGAAAUUGUCAGGAACUGUGCAGUGUUUGACAUUUUACCCAACUUGUAAGCUAAACAUUUAGCCUGGCAUGGUUUCAUGGAUGUUAGCAGAAGACAUGAGACUUCUGGGACAGGAGCAAAACACUUCAUGAUAGCAAAAGUGAGAACCAGAGUUUCGUGUUCUUAUGUGUCAGUUUCCCAUACCCCACCAAAUCCCGAGGAGGUGAUGCAAAGGGCCCAUUAUACAGUGAGUUGUGUGACAGGAGAGGAACACUGAGAUCCACCACUUUUAUAGCAAAUGGAAGCAAGCUUGCUUUUUUUCCUGGGGGAGACGUUACCUCAUCCUUCAAGGUUGCUCACAAGGGUGCAAACACAGCCCUGAGAAGUGGCCAGGGUAAAGAACAGUCAAGGGAUUGUAUUCUUGGCAUACUCAGCAAGAAUGUGCAGAGACACUUAGGGUAUACAGCACAUUGCCUCUGUCACUAUUCACUCCUCAGCCUGACACAUUCUUGGCCAAACUUAAAUUUUUACACAAGUGUGCUACUCUGACAACCACUUCGAUUAAGCUAACCAACAGAAGCCAGAACCAAAUCCACUCAGUUUGUCUCACAUGACGUUUAAUUAAGUCUAUUAUCAAGACUCAAAGCAGCAGAUGAAGCCAACCUGCAGUAUUGAUCUCAGUCUUACUCUCCAGGGUCCCAGACAGCUUACUGUGAAUAAUCUCAGGGAGUACCAGUAGGUCUGAUUUUAGGCAGCCAUGAGGUAUUCUAGGGCCAGGGUAUUUUAUUCAUUAAGACCUGUACAGAGUUUAAACUGAUCUGUUAAUCUCUGGUGUCGCUGCAAUAAUUAGACAAUUGAUGGGCCAGAAAGCGACCUCUGUCCUUAAUGGGGAGACAUCUCAUGACCCAUUUUUCUCCUACCCAUUUUUCCCCUAUAUACCAAAAUAUAACCCCAAAGGACACAAGUCACUUUGGUUCAGGACUCGUUGCUAAACCUGAUUUGUAUCAUCACAUUGGUUAAGUCACAGGGGCAGUGUCACCAAAUAGCUGCAGCUUCGGUUGCCAUAUACGGUAUUACCCAAGACCACUCAGGCGUCAAAAGCAUAUGAUCAGUCAGAUUGAAUCAAGGUUGUGUUGGUCCUGAUGUCUGUAUACAUUCGAAUUUGGGUGCUGUUGUUGAUGGUAUCAGGCACAGCAGAACAGUGCAGGACUGACCAUGUUUAUGAGAGAUUUUCGUUUUCAUAGCACAUUUCAUGGUGGUCUGGACAAGCCCAGCAGCAGGUCAGACUGUUAGCUGCAGCUGCCACUUGAUUCAGGUAGUGGUUUUGAAUCAAGGGCAGUGGUUCCAGCUGGGGGCAGUUUUGCCCUCCAGGGGACAUUUGGCAAUGUCUGAGCCAUUUUUAUUUGUCACAACUAGAGGGAAGGUGCUACUGGCAUCUAGUGGGUAGAGGCCAGUGUAACUGCUAAACAACGAAUUAUCUGGCCUAAAAUAUUAAUAGUGCCAAGGUUGAGAAACUGACCUAGGGAACAAAUUGUGCAUUAAUUAUUUCCCUUCCAGCUAGGCAUGGUGGUUCACACCUGUAAUCCCAGCACUCUGGGAGGCUGAGGCAGAAGGAUCGCUUGAGCCAGGAGUUUUAAGACCAGCCUGGGUCUUAAUAUGACACAUUAGUUUCAAGAGCUGUAAUUGUAUGGUCAAAGUCAGUUGGUCAGACCGAAACAGCAACGUCAUAGCCUAAGAAGGUCUUAACAGCAGUCAGCCCCUCCGCCAUGAGUUGCCCUAACAGGAGGUCAAAUGGCCAGUGUAGUCAGUCAGUUAGGAGCAAGCGGGCCCAUGUCCUGUAUAGUAUGGCCUUAUUUACCUCCAGACAAAUGGGAUAACUUUAGCAGGGGUCACCAAGACUGGCAUGCAUGAGAAAGAGUUCUUUACUGGGUGCCUAGUCCGCCAUGGUGGAUGUGUUGCCAUUGUGAGGACAAUCCAGGUGAUGCUGGCUUCAUCAGCAGCUUGAUUCCACUAGGUGUUAUCAGUCACAGGUGUUAUCAGCCCUUAACUGUAGUCAUCUACAUGAAUGACCCAGAUGUUCUGGUUGGCAGCCACAAUUUAUUUUCAUAGUUUAUAGCCUUAAAAGAGAUGUCUUUAGUCUGCCUUUCAACUGGCAGACCAGAUGUCUAGGCCAUUAGUAACAGCCCAAGUCAGCAAAAACUAGUGUGGUGGCUCACACCUGUAAUCUCAACUUUGGGAGGCUGAGGCAGGAGAAUCACUUGAGUACAAGAGUUCAAGACCAGCCUGGGCAACAUAGCGAGAUGCCCAUCUCUACAAAAAUUUUAAAAAGCAGGUCAUGGGGACACACACCUGUAGCCCCAGCUACUCAGGAGAUUGAGGUAGGAGGAUCCCUGAGUCCAGGAGGUUGAGACUGCAGUGAGCUGUGAUCACACCACUGCACUCCAACCUGGGCAACAGCACAAGACCCUAACUCUAAAAAUAAUAAUUUUUAAAAUAGGGCAAGGUUAAUCAAAAGCAGUAUUGGCUAUGAGAACUGAGUUCCGCCCACUGAGCAGGGACUUCAUUCACUUUAGUUGCAUGGCUAGCACUGAGGUUGGAUUGCAACAGCAACACAAUGGAUACUACCAGCUUUCCAUUCUGCAGAGCCAUCAGUGAAUCAGGCCCAAUCAUUUAGGAGACUUAGGUGAAGUAAGGACCCCAUUGACCCAACAGGUGCAAGUACGCUUCACGCAGUGGAGUGCUAGAUAAAGUUUUCCAGGAGUUUCUACCACCACUUCAUGAAAAACCAAGAUGAUCCUAAGGCUGCUACAUCCCAGAACACACUGUUUUUUAUCAGCAAGGCUUGUUUAGUGAGGCAUGCGGUCUCCAAUACCCAAAGCCCUCCAAUAAGCCUAGAAGCAGCAAAAGGUUAAAGAGAUAGCAGUUUGUCCUUGACUGCCAGAGGGAUUAAGCACUGUGAAUCCAUCCACACAGUCCCAAGAAACUACUUGGUGAACAGGCUCCUGAAUUGUUUUGGAGUUUUAUCAAACACUCCUGUUGGUGGAGGUGUGAUGAAACCACAGUCAAGGUAUGAGAUUGAGAAUUCUGAGUUGUCAAACAACUGGACAGCAUCCUCGCUCUCAUGUGAAAACUGUGGCCGUCAGAGUAGAAACACUUGUGUUUAAAUACUGACACACACACACACACACACACACACGGCAAAUGGCAGAGGAGUUUGUUCCAUUAACACUUUUCUAAAUACAGCAGUGCCCUGAAUGGGAGAACCUCCUCUGAAUACAUGAAGUGCACAAGCAUGUACACAUCAGUCUCACAUUUAGCAGUGCAAAAUAGAACGCUGAAUUGGCCCAGAGGGACUCACACACUUAAAUAUAAAAAUAUUUUUGCCUGGGCGCGGUGGCUCAAGCCUGUAAUCCCAGCACUUUGGGAGGCCGAGGUGGGUGGGUCAUCUGAGGUCAGGAGUUCAAGACCAGCCUGACCAACAAUGGAGAAACCCUGUCUCCACUAAAAAUACAAAAUUAGCCAGGCAUGGUGGCACAUGCCUAUAAUCCCAGCUACUGGGGAGGCUGAGAAAGGAGAAUCACUUGAACCUGGGAGGCAGAAGUUGCGGUGAGCCGAGAUUGUGCCAUUGCACUCCAGCCUAGGCAACAAGAAUGAAACUCCCGUCUCAAAUAUAUAUAUAUAUAUUUUUAUAAAUUUAAAAAACCUUUUUCUCCACUGCAAGUUUUGCCCAAACCCUGUCAGUUGAAUUUGGAUGCUUUAUUUCCUUAUUUACAGUAGCACUGGCAAACUUUUCUCUGUGAAAAGCCAGAUAAAUAGUUUUGGCCUUGUGGGCCAAGAAGCAAAAGUGGGAUGUAGGCAUAUAACAAGAGGAAACAAAUCUCCACAAAAUUAUUAAUGAAGUUCAAACUAUCAUGAUAAUAAUUGAGUACUUUUCUGUAAUACAGAUCUACUAAUGAGGAAAAAAAUGGAAUUUUUUUCUUUUGGGAUGGGGAAUAACAUUUCAUUAAAUUAGAGCUUAGUGAUUCCCAUUAUAAAAAUGAGUUGCAAAUUUUCAUCUGUGAACAGUGACUUGUAAUGAGAUUUUAUGUAUUUCUUUUUUUUUUUUUUUUGAGACGGAGUCUCACUCUGUUGCCCAGGCUGGAGUGCAGUGGCGCAGUCUUGGCUCACUGUAACCUCCACCCACUGCAACCUCUGCCUCCCAGGUUCAAGCGAUUCUCCUGCCUCAGCCUCCCAAGUAGCUGGGAUUACAGGAGCAUGCCAUCACGCCUGACUAAUUUUUGUAUUUUUAGUAGAGACGGGAUUUCACCAUGUUGGCCAGGCUGGUCUUGAACUUCUGACCUCAAGUGAUCCACCUGCCUUGGCCUCCCAAAGUGGUGGGAUUACAGGCAUGAGCCACAGUGCCUGGCCUGUAUUUCAUUUUUGAAGAUGUCUUUUCACAGGUAAAAUGUGUGGCACUCAAAAUGUUUGAGCGUGGUAUCGCUGCAGUUUGCAGUGUGCACCGCAGUGUGAAGUGAUGAGUGCACCACCUCAGUGUGAACUGCACCUGCACCACUGCAGUUGUAGUGUAAAAAGCAGCAAGUGGGCCAGGGGCUGUGGCUCAUGCCUGUAAUUCAGCACUUUGGGAGGCUGGGGCAAUAGGAUCCUUUUGAGUCCAGGAGUUUAAGGCCAGCCUGGGCAACAUAGUGAGACCCCAUCUCUAUUUAAAAACAGAUUAAAAAUGUUUUGAAGCAGAAACACAAUAUUUAAAGAUAAAUGAGUAUGAUCAUGUUCCAAUACGACUUGAUUUGUGGAUAUUUAUGUUUAUUUUGAAUUUCAUAUAAUUUUUACACGUAGUAAAAUAUUUUUUCAAAUCUAUAAAAAUAGAAAAAACAUUCUCAGCUUGCAGACUAUACAAAAAUGGAAACUGGCCAGAUUUACCAUAGGCAGCAAUUUGCCAACUCAGCCUGGACUAAGGAUUAUAUCACAUGGAUGGUUAGCAAUUAUAACUGCAGCUGCUUUUAAGAUCAUAGGUGAAGAAGUCCCUGAUACAGAAAAUCAGAGCAAGGACACAGAAUGCUAAAAACUGAAAUUUAGGAAAACUUUACCUGCAAAAGAUUUUUUUUUUUUUUUUUUGAGACAGAUUCUGGCUCUGUCUCCCAGGCUGGAGUGCAGUGGCACAAUCUCGGCUCACUGCAAACUCCUCCUCCAGGGUUCAAGUGAUUCUCCUGCCUCAGCCUCCCAAGUAGCUGGGAUUACAGGCCCACGCCACCAAGCCCGGCUAAUUUUUGUAGUUUUAGUAGAGACAGGGUUUUGCCACGUUGACCAGGCUGGUCUGGAACUCCUGACCUCAAGUGAUCUGCCCAGCUUGGCCUCCCAAAGUGCUGGGAUUACCAGCCUGGCCAACAUGGUGAAACCCCAUCUCUAAUAAAAAUAACAAAAUUAGUUGGGCAUCGCGGCACACGCCUGUAAUCCCAGCCUCUCAGGAGGCUGGGGCAGGAGAAUCGCUUGAACCUGGGAGGCAGAGGUUGCAGUGGGCUGAGAUUGCGCCAUUGCGCUCCAGUCUAGGCGACAAGAGCGAAACUCCGUAUCAAAAAUUAAAAAAAGAAUAUACUGCCUACGUAACACUACUUAAUCAGAAAAAAACCCUAGUAAGACAUAUUCAAGCAAAAUUACUGGAUUUUAAAGAAACAGAAGGCUGGGCGCGGUGGCUCACGCCUGUAAUCCCAGCACUUUGGGAGGCCAACGUGGGCGGAUCAUGAG
rnacentral:lncRNA from 10 species